rfam:Gossypium hirsutum cultivar TM-1 chromosome 1, whole genome shotgun sequence
AUUCUGUGAUAUGACAAUUUCACAAUAAUUCUUUGAAUCUCUCUCACGCCUCAUACAAGGAUUCAUCAUCCAUUUGUUGGAAGGUAGUAAUCUCGUUUCACAACU